CCUACGGAGGGCAGCAGUGAGGAAUAUUGGUCAAUGGACGAGAGUCUGAACCAGCCAAGUAGCGUGAAGGAUGACUGCCCGAUGGGUUGUAAACUUCUUUUAUAUGGGAAUAAAACGUUCCACGUGUGGGAUUUUGUAUGUACCAUAUGAAUAAGGAUCGGCUAACUCCGUGCCAGCAGCCGCGGUAAUACGGAGGAUCAGCGCGUUAUCCGGGUUUAUGGGGUUUAAAGUGAGAGUAGGUGGUUUGUUAAGUCAGUUGUGAAAGUUUGCAGCUCAACCGUAAAAUUGCAGUUGAAACUGGCAGUGUUGAGUACAGUAGAGGUGGGCGGAAUUCGUGGUGUAGCGGGGAAAUGCUUAGAUAUCACGAAGAACUCCGAUUGCGAAGGCAGUUCACUGGACUGCAACUGACACUGAGGCUCGAAAGUGUGGGUAUCAAACAGGAUUAGAUACCCCGGUAGUC
rnacentral:rRNA from 1 species